rnacentral:rRNA from 1 species
UACGAAGGGAGCGAGCGUUGUUCGGAAUCACUGGGCGUAAAGCGUGCGUAGGCGGUUUUAUAAGUCAGAAGUGAAAGCCUGGGGCUCAACCUCAGAAUUGCUUUUGAGACUGUAAAGCUAGAAUCCUGGAGAGGUUAGUGGAAUUCCGAGUGUAGAGGUGAAAUUCGCAGAUAUUCGGAGGAACACCAGUGGCGAAGGCGACUAACUGGACAGGCAUUGACGCUGAGGCACGAAAGCGUGGGGAUCAAACAGG